CCACGCGUUGUCUGUGUGGUUUACAAGUUUCUUGGCGAUAUGGGGGAAAAGUUCCUCACAUACCAACGGAAAAUGGGCGUCAUAUACAUGCAGUCACACAGGGGUUCCAAGACCCACCGGCGUAAAAUCAAGUCAAAGGCUGCUGUCUCAUAAUAUGGCGAAGACGAGUCACCUGAAGGCCUAACUCGCCAUAGAAGACUGAAAGAAUGUAAGAUUAACUUCUUUGUGACCAAUAUGACUUGCUCAUUGAUACAUUUGCUAUGUCAAUAUGAGGUGCAUGGCAAAGUAUUUAAUUUAUUUGUCUCGCUUCUAGGAGCUGUAGAAACAACAGGGUGUUCUUUUUCAGGGUAUUCUU